rnacentral:rRNA from 1 species
GAUGAACGCUGGCGGCGUGCCUAAUACAUGCAAGUCGAGCGAACAGAUAAGGAGCUUGCUCCUUUGACGUUAGCGGCGGACGGGUGAGUAACACGUGGGUAACCUACCUAUAAGACUGGAAUAACUCCGGGAAACCGGGGCUAAUGCCGGAUAACAUUUAGAACCGCAUGGUUCUAAAGUGAAAGAUGGUUUUGCUAUCACUUAUAGAUGGACCCGCGCCGUAUUAGCUAGUUGGUAAGGUAACGGCUUACCAAGGCAACGAUACGUGGCCGACCUGAGAGGGUGAUCGGCCACACUGGAACUGAGACACGGCCCAGACUCCUACGGGAGGCAGCAGUAGGGAAUCUUCCGCAAUGGGCGAAAGCCUGACGGAGCAACGCCGCGUGAGUGAUGAAGGUCUUCGGAUCGUAAAACUCUGUUAUUAGGGAAGAACAAAUGUGUAAGUAACUGUGCACGUCUUGACGGUACCUAAUCAGAAAGCCACGGCUAACUACGUG